rnacentral:rRNA from 1 species
UACAGAGGUCUCAAGCGUUGUUCGGAUUCAUUGGGCGUAAAGGGUGCGUAGGCGGCGUGGUAAGUCUGGUGUGAAAUCCUGGAGCUUAACUCCAGAAAUGCACUGGAUACUGCCAUGCUAGAGGACUGGAGAGGAGAUUGGAAUUCACGGUGUAGCAGUGAAAUGCGUAGAUAUCGUGAGGAAGACCAGUGGCGAAAGCGAAUCUCUGGACAGUUCCUGACGCUGAUGCACGAAGGCUAGGGGAGCAAACGGG